UAUCUAUUAUUUGUUUUUUUAGAUAAAGAUUGAUUCUGUCUUUAUUGGUUUGCUAUUUUGAUAAUAUUAAAUACAAGUUUUUUCGUGUGUUUUAUUUUCUUAAAGAGGAUUUUAAUUUAAUUGUAGUUUUUUAUUUUGGAGUUUACAUGACUGUAGACCCAGUUAAUUAAUUUAAAUCUGUUUAAAGUUGUGCCAGCAAACGCGGUUAUACAUCUAGGUUAAGUAAAUUUUUUUGGUUAGUAUUUAUUUUAUUAUUAAGCAUUUAUUUUAUGUUAUUAGGUGAAAUUUUAAUUUAUUAUAUAUUGUUUUGGUUUAGAUUAUACGAAAUUUAGAAUUUAAACUAGGAUUAGAUACCCUAUUAUUCUAAAUGUAAAUUUUAUACCAUAGUAUUAAUAGUUAUGAUCUUUAAAUUAAAAGAAUUU
rnacentral:rRNA from 1 species